rnacentral:rRNA from 1 species
GGGUGAGUAACACGUGGAUAACCUACCUAUAAGACUGGGAUAACUUCGGGAAACCGGAGCUAAUACCGGAUAAUAUUUUGAACCGCAUGGUUCAAAAGUGAAAGACGGUCUUGCUGUCACUUAUAGAUGGAUCCGCGCUGCAUUAGCUAGUUGGUAAGGUAACGGCUUACCAAGGCAACGAUGCAUAGCCGACCUGAGAGGGUGAUCGGCCACACUGGAACUGAGACACGGUCCAGACUCCUACGGGAGGCAGCAGUAGGGAAUCUUCCGCAAUGGGCGAAAGCCUGACGGAGCAACGCCGCGUGAGUGAUGAAGGUCUUCGGAUCGUAAAACUCUGUUAUUAGGGAAGAACAUAUGUGUAAGUAACUGUGCACAUCUUGACGGUACCUAAUCAGAAAGCCACGGCUAACUACGUGCCAGCAGCCGCGGUAAUACGUAGGUGGCAAGCGUUAUCCGGAAUUAUUGGGCGUAAAGCGCGCGUAGGCGGUUUUUUAAGUCUGAUGUGAAAGCCCACGGCUCAACCGUGGAGGGUCAUUGGAAACUGGAAAACUUGAGUGCAGAAGAGGAAAGUGGAAUUCCAUGUGUAGCGGUGAAAUGCGCAGAGAUAUGGAGGAACACCAGUGGCGAAGGCGACUUUCUGGUCUGUAACUGACGCUGAUGUGCGAAAGCGUGGGGAUCAAACAGGAUUAGAUACCCUGGUAGUCCACGCCGUAAACGAUGAGUGCUAAGUGUUAGGGGGUUUCCGCCCCUUAGUGCUGCAGCUAACGCAUUAAGCACUCCGCCUGGGGAGUACGACCGCAAGGUUGAAACUCAAAGGAAUUGACGGGGACCCGCACAAGCGGUGGAGCAUGUGGUUUAAUUCGAAGCAACGCGAAGAACCUUACCAAAUCUUGACAUCCUUUGACAACUCUAGAGAUAGAGCUUUCCCCUUCGGGGGACAAAGUGACAGGUGGUGCAUGGUUGUCGUCAGCUCGUGUCGUGAGAUGUUGGGUUAAGUCCCGCAACGAGCGCAACCCUUAAGCUUAGUUGCCAUCAUUAAGUUGGGCACUC